ensembl:snRNA U6 U6 spliceosomal RNA
UUGCUCACUUCAGCAGCACAUAUACUAAAAUGGGAAUGAUAACAGAGAAAAUUAGCAAGACCCCUGAGCAAGGAUGACACGCCAAUUCACCAAUUCGUGAAGCGUUCU